rnacentral:rRNA from 1 species
AGCAGCCGCGGUAAUUCCAGCUCCAAUAGCGUAUAUUAAAGUUGUUGCAGUUAAAAAGCUCGUAGUUGAAUUUCGGGGUCAGUAGGUUGGUCGUGCCACCGGUACGUACUGGUCUCACUGAUUCCUCCUUCCUGAUGAGCUGUAAUGCCAUUAAUUUGGUGUUGCAGGGAAUCUGGACUGUUACUUUGAAAAAAUUAGAGUGUUUAAAGCAGGCUUACGCUUGAAUACAUUAGCAUGGAAUAAUGAAAUAGGACGUUCGAUCCUAUUUUGUUGGUUUCUAGGAUUGACGUAAUGAUUAAUAGGGAUAGUUGGGGGCAUUAGUAUUCAAUUGUCAGAGGUGAAAUUCUUGGAUUUAUUGAAGACUAACUACUGCGAAAGCAUUUGCCAAGGAUGUUUUCAUUAAUCAAGAACGAAAGUUAGGGGAUCGAAGACGAUCAGAUACCGUCGUAGUCUUAACCAUAAACUAUGCCGACUAGGGAUCGGAUGAUGUUAAUUUUUUAAUGACUCAUUCGGCGCCUUACG